rnacentral:rRNA from 1 species
GUAGUCCACGCCGUAAACGAUGAAUACUAGGUGUGGGGGGACUGACCCCCUCCGUGCCGGAGUUAACACAUUAAGUAUUCCACCUGGGGAGUACGAUCGCAAGAUUGAAACUCAAAGGAAUUGACGGGGGCCCGCACAAGCAGUGGAUUAUGUGGUUUAAUUCGAAGCAACGCGAAGAACCUUACCAGGGUUUGACAUCCAACUAACGAAGCAGAGAUGCAUUAGGUGCCCUUCGGGGAAAGUUGAGACAGGUGGUGCAUGGUUGUCGUCAGCUCGUGUCGUGAGAUGUUGGGUUAAGUCCCGCAACGAGCGCAACCCUUAUUGCUAGUUGCUACGCAAGAGCACUCUAGCGAGACUGCCGUUGACAAAACGGA